UACGAAGGGGGCGAGCGUUGUUCGGAAUUACUGGGCGUAAAGGGCGCGUAGGCGGCCAGCACAAGUCAGUUGUGAAAUCUCCGAGCUUAACUCGGAAAGGUCAACUGAUACUGUGCGGCUAGAGUGCGGAAGGGGCAACUGGAAUUCCUGGUGUAGCGGUGAAAUGCGCAGAUAUCAGGAAGAACACCUAUGGCGAAGGCAGCUCUCUGGGACGGUACUGACGCUGAGACGCGAAAGCGUGGGGAGCAAACGGG
rnacentral:rRNA from 1 species